rnacentral:rRNA from 1 species
UACCAGCACCCCGAGUGGUCGGGACGAUUAUUGGGCCUAAAGCAUCCGUAGCCGGUCCUACAAGUCUUCCGCUAAAUCCACCUGCUCAACAGAUGGGCUGCGGAAGAUACUAUAGGGCUAGGAGGCGGGAGAGGCAAGCGGUACUCAGUGGGUAGGGGUAAAAUCCGUUGAUCCAUUGAAGACCACCAGUGGCGAAGGCGGCUUGCCAGAAUGCGCUCGACGGUGAGGGAUGAAAGCUGGGGGGAGCAAACCGG